rnacentral:rRNA from 1 species
GACGAACGCUGGCGGCGUGCUUAACACAUGCAAGUCGAACGGAAAGGCCCUGCUUUUGUGGGGUGCUCGAGUGGCGAACGGGUGAGUAACCCGUGAGUAACCUGCCCUUGACUUUGGGAUAACUUCAGGAAACUGGGUCUAAUACCGGAUAGGAUCUCCUGCUGCAUGGUGGGGGUUGGAAAGUUUCGGCGGUUGGGGAUGGACUCGCGGCGUAUCAGCUUGUUGGUGGGGUAGUGGCUUACCAAGGCUUUGACGGGUAGCCGGCCUGCGAGGGUGACCUGCCACAUUGGGACUGGGAUGAGGCCCAGACUCCAACGGGAGGCAGCAGUGGAGAAGAUUGCACAAUGGGCGGAAGCCUGAUGCAGCAACGCCGCGUGCGGGAUGACGGGCUUCGGGUUGUAAUCCGCUGUCGCCUGUGACGAAGCGUGAGUGACGGUAAUGGGUAAAGAAGCACCGGCUAACUACGUG